GAUUACAUCAAUGGCCUAGUGGUUAAAGUGACCACCUCAUAUGUGGGAGGUCGUGGGUUCAAACCCCAGUGGAUUCU